rnacentral:rRNA from 1 species
GCCAUCAUUAAGUUGGGCACUUUAAGGUGACUGCCGGUGGCAAACCGGAGGAAGGUGGGGAUUAUGUCAAAUCAUCAUGCCCCUUAUGACCUGGGCUACACACGUGGUACAAUGGACGGUACAAAGAGCUGCAAGACCGCGAGGUGGAGCUAAUUUCAUAAAACCGUUUUCAGGUCGGAUUGUAGGCUGCAACUCGCCUACAUGAAGCUGGAAUCGUUUGUAAUCGCGGAUUAGCAUGGCUUGGUGAUUAC